GUUCUUACAAAAAGUUGAUCAGUG
rnacentral:siRNA from 1 species